CAGUAACGAAGACACAGAUCAUUCAGGAUAUAGAGUAUACUGAUCCUGAACUCCCAGUCAGAAGAGCAGACAGUAAGGGUCUCCUGCCACCAGACAUGUCUGAUGGCCAGGUUCUUUUUGCUGAACCAGUGACCAGAGAG